rnacentral:rRNA from 1 species
GACAGAGGUGCCGAGCGUUAGGCGGAAUCACUGGGCAUAAAGCGCACGUAGGCGGCCAAGUCAGUCAGGUGUGAAAUACCUCGGCUCAACCGAGGAACUGCGCCUGAUACUGCUUGGCUUGAGGUCCGGAGGGGAGAGUGGAAUUCCCGGUGGAGCGGUGAAAUGCGUAGAGAUCGGGAAGAACGCCGGCGGCGAAAGCGACUCUCUGGUCGGAAUCUGACGCUGAGGUGCGAAAGCUAGGGGAGCAAACGGG